AUUGCUUCUUGGCCUUUUGGUUGAGAUCAAGUGUAGGUAUCUGUUCUUACUAGUUUGACUAUCUGAUACGUCCGUCCUCUCUCCGAGGACAUUAUAUUAAACGGAAUUUUGGGGUUGAGAAAUGGAAUAGGAGCUUGCUCCAUCCACUCCGGGUGGCAUCCAGCAGGUAUUUCAGUACUUUUGGGAAGGGUGCACCCCUU